rnacentral:rRNA from 1 species
GACAGAAGGGGCAAGCGUUGUCCGGAGUUACUGGGCGUAAAGGGUGUGUAGGCGGUCGCCUAAGUUUGGUGUGAAAUCUCCCGGCUCAACCGGGAGGGUGCGCCGAAUACUGAGUGACUAGAGUGCGGGAGAGGAAAGUGGAAUUCCUGGUGUAGCGGUGAAAUGCGUAGAUAUCAGGAGGAACACCGGCGGUGUAGACGGCUUUCUGGACCGUAACUGACGCUGAAACACGAAAGCGUGGGUAGCAAACAGG